CGGGUGCACUGAUCCAGCCGGGCCUUUCCCUCUGUGGACCCAUGGCUUCACUGGCUGUGGUGGGGGAAACAGGACUUUACUUGAAAAUUAGAGUGCUCCAGCAGGCCUAUGCUCGAAUACAUUAGCAUGGAAUAUAGAAUAGGACGUGUGUUCUAUUUUGUUGGUUUCUAGGACCGCGUAAUGAUUAUAGGGACAGUCGGGGGCAUCAGUAUUCAAUUGUCAGAGGUGAAAUUCUUGGAUCUAUUGAAGACUAACUACUGCGAAAGCAUUUGCCAAGGAUGUUUUCAUUGAUAAGGAACGAAAGUUAGGGGAUCGAAGACGAUCAGAUACCGUCGUAGUCUUAACUAUAAACUAUGCCGACUAGGGAUCGGACGAUGUUAUUCUUUGACGCGUUCGGCACCUUUCGAGAAAUCAAAGUGCUUGGGCUCCAGGGGGAGUAUGGUCGCAAGGCUGAAACUUAAAGAAAUUGACGGAAGGGCACCACCAGGGGUGGAACCUGCGGCUUAAUUUGACUCAACACGGGGAAACUCACCAGGUCCAGACACAGUGAGGAUUGACAGAUUGAGAGCUCUUUCUUGAUUCUGUGGGUGGUGGUGCAUGGCCGUUCUUAGUUGGUGGAGUGAUUUGUCUGCUUAAUUGCGAUAACGAACGAGACCUUAACCUGCUAAAUAGCCCGUACUGCUUUGGCAGUUCGCCGGCUUCUUAGAGGGACUAUCGG
rnacentral:rRNA from 1 species